rnacentral:rRNA from 1 species
GAUGAACGCUGGCGGCGUGCCUAAUGCAUGCAAGUCGAGCGAAUGGAUUAAGAGCUUGCUCUUAUGAAGUUAGCGGCGGACGGGUGAGUAACACGUGGGUAACCUGCCCAUAAGACUGGGAUAACUCCGGGAAACCGGGGCUAAUACCGGAUAACAUUUUGAACCGCAUGGUUCGAAAUUGAAAGGCGGCUUCGGCUGUCACUUAUGGAUGGACCCGCGUCGCAUUAGCUAGUUGGUGAGGUAACGGCUCACCAAGGCAACGAUGCGUAGCCGACCUGAGAGGGGGAUCGGCCACGCGAGGACUGAGACACGGCGCAGACUCCUACGAGAGGCGGCAGUAGGGAAGCUUCCGCAAUGGACGAAAGUCUGACGGAGCAGCGCCGGGUGAGUGAUGAAGGCUUUCGGGUCGUAAAACUCUGUUGUUAGGGAAGAACAAGUGCUAGUUGAAUAAGCUGGCACCUUGACGGUACCUAACCAGAAAGCCACGGCUAACUACGUGCCAGCCGCCGCCGUAA